rnacentral:rRNA from 1 species
GAACUAGCUAACUGAAAUCUUAAAUUUUAAAAUAUUUAAGAUAAGGUAAGAGAAAAUAAUGAUAUUAUCUUACUAUUAGUGUCGUCUAAAUUUGGUGCCAGAAGACUCGGUAAGACCUUAGACGCAAACGUUAAUCGUCAUAAUCAGGCGUAAAGGGUGUGUAGGCGGCUUUAAAAAAAUAUUUAUAUUUAAAUUAAAGCUAGAAUCUAAAAGAGGGUAAGCUAAACAACAUAAUUAAUUAGGAUUGACAACUUAUAAUAAUGUGGAGUACUAAAGGUUAAAGCUAUUUAUCUACUUAAGAUUGACGCUCAGAAACGAAGGGGAGAAUAAGAAACUUAGAUUAGAGACCUAAUUAUCUCUCUCAGUCAACGAUGAAUGGUAGUUAUUAAAAAUACAAAUAUAAUUUCUUUAUUAUAUAAAUAUUAGUAACGAGGUUAACACGAUGACCAUUCCGCCUUGUUAGUAAGACUGCAAAGUUGAAAACAAAAAAAUUAGUCGGUCUUGAAGCAAACG